rnacentral:rRNA from 1 species
GACAAACGCUGGCGGCGUGCUUAACACAUGCAAGUCGAACGGAAAGGCCCUGCUUUUGUUGGUUGCUCGAGUGGCGAACGGGUGAGUAACACGUGAGUAACCUGCCCUUGACUUUGGGAUAACUUCAGGAAACUGGGGCUAAUACCGGAUAGGAUCUCCUGCUGCAUGGUGGGGGUUGGAAAAUUUCGGCGGUUGGGGAUGGACUCGCGGCUUAUCAGCUUGUUGGUGGGGUAGUGGCUUACCAAGGCUUUGACGGGUAGCCGGCCUGAGAGGGUGACCGGCCACAUUGGGACUGAGGUACGGCCCAGACUGCUACGGGAGGCAGCAGUGGGGAAUAUUGCACAAUGGGCGGAAGCCUGAUGCAGCAACGCCGCGUGCGGGAUGACGGCCUUCGGGUUGUAAACCGCUUUCGCCUGUGACGAAGCGUGAGUGACGGUAAUGGGUAAAGAAGCACCGGCUAACUACGUG